GGGAAGUAAGUCUUCAGUUCUUGAAACCAGAAGGCGCGAUGCUGUGAGCUGGCCGACGGGGCUGACCCCGAGCCAGAGUCUGAGGUCCAGGGUCUUCAGCGAAGAGAGGAGAUGAAGACAGACUCGUGUGGAGUGUCUGGUCGACCACCAAGGUUGGUCCCAGGCGGCGGGUUGAGGUGGUCAGAGGGGAUCGAAUGGUGGAAAGAGGACCACGUUACUUGUGCUCCAACUGUGCACCAAGAGGUGAACGGGCUCACAAAAUGGAGCGUGUGUUGGCAGAGAGGCCAGCCCCAAAAUGGCGCUGGGCCUUCUUCUUCACCAGCAAGGGGAGAAAGCCCGCGUGUGGGAAGAGACUUUUGUAAUGCACCUCUGAUGUCAUUUCUGCCUGGAGAGGGCGGGAACGGAACUGAGUAAAAGCCAGUGCCGCGAAGUUGGAAUAAACU